UACGUAGGCAGCGAGCGUUGUUCGGAGUUACUGGGCGUAAAGAGUGCGUAGGCGGUUUUCUAAGUUUGGUGUGAAAUCUCCCGGCUCAACUGGGGAGGGUCAUUCGAUACUGAUCGACUCGAAGGCAGGAGAGGGUAGUGGAAUUCCCGGUGUAGUGGUGAAAUGCGUAGAUAUCGGGAGGAACACCAGUGGCGAAGGCGACUACCUGGCCUGUUCUUGACGCUGAGGCGCGAAAGCUAGGGGAGCAAACGGG
rnacentral:rRNA from 1 species